GACGAACGCUGGCGGCGUGCCUAAUACAUGCAAGUUGAGCGCUGAAGGUUGGUACUUGUACCAACUGGAUGAGCAGCGAACGGGUGAGUAACGCGUGGGGAAUCUGCCUUUGAGCGGGGGACAACAUUUGGAAACGAAUGCUAAUACCGCAUAAAAACUUUAAACACAAGUUCUAAGUUUGAAAGAUGCAAUUGCAUCACUCAAAGAUGAUCCCGCGUUGUAUUAGCUAGUUGGUGAGGUAAAGGCUCACCAAGGCGAUGAUACAUAGCCGACCUGAGAGGGUGAUCGGACACAUUGGGACUGAGAAACGGCCCAAACUCCUACGGGAGGCAGCAGGAGGGAAUUUUGGGCAAUGGGCGAAAGCCUGACGGAGCAACGCCGCGGGAGUGAAGAAGGUGUUCGGAUCGUAAAACUCUGUUGUUAGGGAAGAACAUUGGUGGAAGUAAAAAGCCAAAAAAGUACGGGAAAUAAUCAGAAAGGGACGGGUAAACACGUG
rnacentral:rRNA from 1 species